rnacentral:lncRNA from 1 species
GGUUUUGAGGGUUCCGGGUGUGGAGUCUCGAGCCUGGGUUGCACCUGCUCUUGGCCGGGAGGUGACUCCCAGAGCCGCAAUGCCAGCUCAUGAGGAUGGCUUUACCCAGGACGCGUUCAUGAUGCCAGCAAGGCAGAGCCACCAAAACAGAAAAAUGGAAGAUGCAUUUUGUGGAAAGAUUGUGUUAUUUGAAAUUUCAAAGCGAGCACUGCAGUUGUCCUCACAGACGGAGUUUCGCUCUUCUUCCCAUGCUGGAGUGCAAUGGCGCAAUCUCAGCUCACCCCAACCUCCGCCUCCUGGGUUCAAGCGAUUCUCCUGCCUCAGCCUCCUGAUUACCUGGGAUUACAGGCAUGUGCCACCACACCUGGCUAAUUUUGUGUUUUUAGUAGAGAUGGGGUUUCUCCAUGUCGGUCAGGCUGGUCUGGAACUCCUGACCUCAGGUGAUCCGCCCACCUCAGCCUCCUAAAAUGCUGGGAUUACAGGCGUGAGCCACCGCGCCCAGCCUAUAAAAUUGAUUCUUUAAAAAAAAUUAGAACAUUUACCGAUGCUGGACCCACCUUCCCCACCUUCAGGGUCCACUUUCUAGGUGGCCACAGUGCCUGCUUGGCCCCUGUAGCAUUUGAGUUUGCAACUCUGCUUUUGGAGUUAAACAUGUUUUAGGAGUCCUGGGAUUCUGAUUGAUGCUAUUGUCAAUUUGAUGAAAGAAAAAUUACUCCUGGGAUUUGUGUCUGGUGUUUUCCAGGUGUUCUGGUUUUGGGAUUUUGUUGUUGUUUUGUUUUGUUUUUGUUUUUCUGAGACAGAGUCUCGCUCUGUCAUCCAGGCUGAAGUGCAAUGGCACCAUUUCGGCUCAUUCCAACCCCCACCUCCUGGGUUCAAACGAUUCUUCUGUCUCAGCCUCCCAGGUAGCUGGGAUUACAGGAGUGUGCCACCGCGGCCAGCUAAUUUUUGUAUGUUUAGUAGAGACAGGGUUUCAUCAUGUUGGCCAGGCUGGUCUCGAACUCCUGGGUUCAAGCAAUCCACCCACCUCUGCCUCCCAAAGUGCUGGGAUUAUAGGCUGAGCCACUGUGCCUGGCCAGGUGUUCUGUUUUUGUUUUUGAUUUUUUAGAGAUGUGGUCUCGCUAUAUCACCCAGGCUGGUCUCGGACUCCUGGCUUCAAGCAAGUCUCCCGCCUCAGCCUGCUCAGUAGCUGGGACCACAGGUGCGAGCCACCACACCCGGCUUCUAGGUGUUUUAAGCCUCAAGGCGAAGAGAGACAUGCAACUUAACAAGUCAGUACUGUUUUCAAGCCAGAGUGAGCGAUGAACUGAAAGCUGAAGCGGGGAGGGGUCCUGGAAAUCAUGACACUCUUCACUCUGCCAACCAGGAGGAGAGCUGAGUGUCCAGGGUCAGGGAAUUCACUCCUGAAAGGGACCCUUUCACCCCACACUGUCCCAGGAGUGCACCAAGCCCCCCCAAAAGUGGAUGUGUCGAUGUGUCCCGACUCUUGGGCAAAAGUUUCUCUACCAGCAAAAGAGGCCACUUCAGGGAUACUGGGGGAGUCCAAAGGUUUGGAUCCCUCCAUAGGAUCACCUAAAUUAGGUCAAAUGAAGUCUGAGCAUCUGUUUAAUUGUUCAAAGAAGAUUUAUUGGACAUCUACUGUAAGGCAGACAUUAACUUCUUCUUGAGAAUGAGAGGUGUUCCUUCCAGGGCUGGCUUUUGGAUCUAGGCAGGUCCAGGAGAGACGGUGACCACAGUCGCCAUGUGGCAACAGCAACCCCUAAAAGAGCACCGAAAGGCGUCAGGGCAGGGUGAGUCAGUAAGUAGAGCAGACAUUAAAAACUUAAACGGGGCUGGGUGCAGUGCCUCGUGCCUGUAAUCCCAGCACUUUGGGAGGCCAAGGUGAGCUGAUGGCUUGAGCCCAGGAGUUCCAGACCAGCCUCAGCAACAUAAUGAGACCCCAACUCUAUUUAUUUAUUUAUUUGUUUUGAGACGGAGUCUUGCUCUGUCGCCCAGGCUGGAGUGCAGUGGCACAAUCUCAGCUCACUGCAAGCUCCGCCUCCCGGAUUCACGCCAUUCUCCUGGCUCAGCCUCCUGAGUAGCUGGGACUACAGGCGCCCGCCACAACGCCCAGCUAAUUUUUGUAUGUUUAGUAGAGAUGCAGUUUCACUAUGUUGGCCAGGCUGGUCUCAAACUCCUGGUCUCGAUCUCUUGACCUCGUGAUCCACCCGCCUCGGCCUCCCAAAGUGCUGGGAUUACAGGCUUGAGCCACUGCGCCCGGCCCCCAACUCUAUUUAAAAACAAAAAACUUAAAUGCCUCCAGCCACCAGCUUACAUACGGGACCAAUGGCUUGGGAGUAAGACGGGAGGGAGAAGGGACUUCAGAGGCCUUUGAGAAAUCCUUGAAGAGAAGCCAAAAAACAAUUCGAUUCCUCUGUGACCUCCUGACUUUUAAAUUGAUGACAAAGUUUUAAAAUUUAAGAAUUCCAGCCGGGCGCGGUGGCUCACGCCUGUAAUCCCAGCACUUUGGGAGGCGGAGACGGGCGGAUCACGAGGUCAGGAGAUAGAGACCAUCCUGGCUAAUACUGUGAAACCCCGUCUCUACUAAAAAUACAAAAAAAAUUAGCCGGGCGUGGUGGCGGGCGCCUGUAGUCCCAGCUACUCCGGAGGAUGAGGCAGGAGAAUGGCGUGAACCCGGGAAGGGGAGCUUGCAGUGAGCCGAGAUACCGUCACUGCACUCCAGCCUGGGGGGCGGAGCCAGACUCCGCCUCAAAAAAAAAAAAAAAAAAAAAAAAAGAAUUCCAUACAAGUCAGCAGAACACACCUGCUGUCUGCAUUCAACUCACAGGUCAUCUGUGUAGGGACGUACUUACCUCUCAGUAACUGACUAUAGGCCGGGCGCGGUGGCUCAUGCCUGUAAUCCCAGCACUUUGGGAGGUCAAGGCUGGCGGAUCACCUGAGGUAGGGAGUUCGAGACCAGCCUGACCAACAUGGAGAAACCCCAUCUCUACUAAAAAUACAAAAUUAGCCGGGUGUGGUGGCACAUGCCUGUAAUCCCAGCUACUAGGGAGGCUGAGGCAGGAGAAUCGCUUGAACCUGGGAGGCAGAGGUUGCGGUGAGCCGAGAUCACGCCAUUGCACUCCAGCCUGGGCAACAAGAGUGAAACUCCAUCUCAAAAAAAAAAAAAAAAAAAAAAAGAAUUGACUAUAAUUGGGGCCAGGCACAGUGGCUCACGCCUGUAAUCCCAGCACUUUGGGAGGCCGAGGCGGGCGGAUCACCUGAGGUCAGGAGUUUGAGACCAGCCUGACCAAAAUGGAGAAACCGCGUCUCUACUAAAAAUACAAAAAUUAGCCGGGCAUGGUGGUGCACGCCUGUAAUCCCAGUUACUCGGGAGGCUGAGGCAGGAGAAUUGCUUGAACCCAGGAGACGGAGGUUGUGGUGAGCCGAGAUGGUGCCAUUCAUUGCACUCCAGCCUGAACAACAAGAGCUAAACUCCGUCUCAAAAAAAAAAAAAAAAAAUGGAAGGAAAGAAAGAAUUGACUAUAAUGCACAAAGCCGCUUAGCAGAGCUUCGAGCAUGGUAAAUAAUAAAUGCCAACUCCUGUAGCUGGCGGCUUCACUGACCCUGAGUAAGGAGAGGACUCCUCCUUCAAUAAAUAAAUCAUGAUCUGCUCUCAGAGAUCGACCUGACAGUUAAGUCAAGACUUAAGGAAUAACAAAAACUAGGGAAAAAAAGACCCAUCUGAAGUAAGAACAAAAUAAUUGGUGCUAAUUAAGGUGGCUAAGCCAGGUUGGAGACAGGGAGAUGUAGCCAGCCUUAGGAAGGAAGGAAGGAGACGACGAUAGGGGAAAACAAGGGAACUGAGCAAGGUAAAGAAAAAUAAGAAUAAUAAAGACCAGAGCAGGUCGGCGCGGUGGCUCACACCUGUAAUCCCAGCACUUUGGGAGGCCGCGGCGGGCGGAUCACGAGGUCAGGAGUUUGAGACCAGCCUGGCCAACAUAGUGAAACUCCAUCUCUACUAAAAAUACAAAAAUUAGCUGGGCGUUCUGGCGGGCGCCUGCAAUCCUAGCUACUUGGGAGGCUGAGGCAGGAGAAUCGCUUGAACCCGGGAGGCGGAGGUUGCAGUGAGCCGAGAUCGCGCCACCGCACUCCAGCCAGGGCGACAGUGUGAGACUCCGUCUCAAACAAACAAACAACAAAAAAGAGCAGAGCAAAUAUUGAACUCUAAAAGAGAAGAAAAAGAAACCAGCAGAAGUGUUAGAUAGGUAGGACCCAAGGAAUACACAUUGUUAAAAGAAAAGAUUUCCCAGGGCCACCGGACACCAGCGCGUGAGAAUCCGGAGGCAGGGAGGCGACCCGGUUCCCG